rnacentral:rRNA from 1 species
AUACAGAGAGUGCAAACGUUGUUCGGAAUUACUGGGCUUAAAGCGCACGUAGGCGGCGCCGCAAGUGCGGGGUGAAAUCCCACGGCUUACCCGUGGAACUGCCCUGCAGACUGUGGUGCUCGAGGAUGGUAGGGGAGAGCGGAACUCCUGGUGGAGCGGUGAAAUGCGUAGAUAUCAGGAGGAACACCGGUGGCGAAGGCGGCUCUCUGGUCCAUUACUGACGCUGAGGUGCGAAAGCUAGGGGAGCAAACGGG